rnacentral:snRNA from 1 species
CGGCCGGGGGACGGACUGG